GGGAGGGUUGUAAAAUUACGUCACGUACAGCUUACCAUGCAGUCGAACGAUGAACCACUUCGGUGGGGAUUAGUGGCGAACGGGUGAGUAACACGUGGGCAAUCUGCCCUGCACUCUGGGACAAGCCCUGGAAACGGGGUCUAAUACCGGAUACUGAUCCUCGCAGGCAUCUGCGAGGUUCGAAAGCUCCGGCGGUGCAGGAUGAGCCCGCGGCCUAUCAGCUAGUUGGUGAGGUAACGGCUCACCAAGGCGACGACGGGUAGCCGGCCUGAGAGGGCGACCGGCCACACUGGGACUGAAACACGGCCCAAACUCCUACGGGAGGCAGCAGUGGGGAAUAUUGCACAAUGGGCGAAAGCCUGAUGCAGCGACGCCGCGUGAGGGAUGACGGCCUUCGGGUUGUAAACCUCUUUCAGCAGGGAAGAAGCGAAAGUGACGGUACCUGCAGAAAAAGCGCCGGCUAACUACGUGCCAGCAGCCGCGGUAAUACGUAGGGCGCAAGCGUUGUCCGGAAUUAUUGGGCGUAAAGAGCUCGUAGGCGGCUUGUCACGUCGGUUGUGAAAGCCCGGGGCUUAACCCCGGGUCUGCAGUCGAUACGGGCAGGCUAGAGUUCGGUAGGGGAGAUCGGAAUUCCUGGUGUAGCGGUGAAAUGCGCAGAUAUCAGGAGGAACACCGGUGGCGAAGGCGGAUCUCUGGGCCGAUACUGACGCUGAGGAGCGAAAGCGUGGGGAGCGAACAGGAUUAGAUACCCUGGUAGUCCACGCCGUAAACGGUGGGCACUAGGUGUGGGCAACAUUCCACGUUGUCCGUGCCGCAGCUAACGCAUUAAGUGCCCCGCCUGGGGAGUACGGCCGCAAGGCUAAAACUCAAAGGAAUUGACGGGGGCCCGCACAAGCGGCGGAGCAUGUGGCUUAAUUCGACGCAACGCGAAGAACCUUACCAAGGCUUGACAUACACCGGAAAACCCUGGAGACAGGGUCCCCCUUGUGGUCGGUGUACAGGUGGUGCAUGGCUGUCGUCAGCUCGUGUCGUGAGAUGUGGGUAAGUCCCGCACGAGCGCAACCCUUGUCCCGUGUGCCAGCAGCCCUUGUGUGCUGGGACUCACGGAGACGCGGGUCACUCGAGAAGUGGGGACGACGUCAGUCAUCAUGCCCUUAUGUCUUGGGCUGCCACGUGCUCAUGGCGGUACAUGAGCUCAUUCCGGAGGUGGACGAUCUCAAAGCCGCCCUCCAUUCCGAAUGGGGGUUGGCACUCA
rnacentral:rRNA from 1 species